GUGGAUGCCUUGGCACUAGAAGCCGAUGAAGGACGUUACUAACGACGAUAUGCUUUGGGGAGCUGUAAGUAAGCUUUGAUCCAGAGAUUUCCGAAUGGGGAAACCCAGCAUGAGUUAUGUCAUGUUAUCGAUAUGUGAAUACAUAGCAUAUCAGAAGGCACACCCGGAGAACUGAAACAUCUUAGUACCCGGAGGAAGAGAAAGAAAAUUCGAUUCCCUUAGUAGCGGCGAGCGAAACGGGAAGAGCCCAAACCAACAAGCUUGCUUGUUGGGGUUGUAGGACACUCUAUACGGAGUUACAAAGGACGACAU
rnacentral:rRNA from 1 species